CGGCCGGCAGCCCAGCUGUUUUGAAAAAUGCUUCCUGUUUCUUUAGAGGCGCUCGCGGCCCCGCGGCGGGCUGGGGCGGCGGCGGGAGCUGCCUCCUCUCCGGGCGGCGCUCACUGAUCUCGCGAACUGGCUUCUGUAUAAACCGAGGCUAAACAAACACAGACGGAGCGCAGCGGGCGUUCCGCAGAAGGCCGGCCAGGCGGCAGCGGCUCGGGAGGACACCCCGAGCGCUCGGGAGCGCACGGCGCGGCGGCCCCGCAGAGCCGGCGGCGCAGCUGCCCGGCGAG
rnacentral:lncRNA from 1 species